rnacentral:rRNA from 1 species
GAUAACAGGCUGAUACCGCCCAAGAGUUCAUAUCGACGGCGGUGUUUGGCACCUCGAUGUCGGCUCAUCACAUCCUGGGGCUGAAGUAGGUCCCAAGGGUAUGGCUGUUCGCCAUUUAAAGUGGUACGCGAGCUGGGUUUAGAACGUCGUGAGACAGUUCGGUCCCUAUCUGCCGUGGGCGUUGGAAGAUUGAGAGGGGUUGCUCCUAGUACGAGAGGACCGGAGUGAACGCACCACUGGUGUUCGGGUUGUCAUGCCAAUGGCAUUGCCCGGUAGCUAAGUGCGGAAAAGAUAAGCGCUGAAAGCAUCUAAGCGCGAAACUUGCCUCAAGAUGAGUCUUCCCUGGGCCUUUAAGGCCCCUGAAGGAACGUUUAAGACUAAGACGUUGAUAGGCUGGGUGUGUAAGUGCAGCGAUGCAUUGAGCUAACCAGUACUAAUGAUCCGUGAGGCUUAACCUUACAACACCGAAGGUGUUU